ensembl:lncRNA
UGGUGGUGGUGUGGUGACGUUGUGCUCUCUGGAGUGGGAGGCUGUUGGUUCAAACCCAGCUUGGGUGCAGUGUGCUGGAUGGUGAAAUGUAGAAUGGGGAGUUAAUGUGUCUCACUUUUUUGACCUGGAAGUGUGAUGCUUAGUUCAUGGUUACAUAAAUGAAGGUGAAAAGGUCUAUAAAACAGGCUUCUUGUACGAGAUCCUGUAGCUCAUGUGGAUGAGCAUCACCCUCUGGUUUGAGUGGUUGCUGGUUCAAACCCCAGCCAGGAUGAAGGGAUAAGAGCGUGGCAGGUUCAGGAAUCAGUGGAAGGCUGAUUGAUGUGGAAGGUGCAGGAUGGCCGGAGGGCGUGACCAAGGGGGGUAAUAUCCGGGCAUCUGCCCCCCGAGGACCAGCAGUGGACAGUAAGAGGGUUAUGGAACCUGAAGAGAGGGGUUGGACUUAGUUUUGCAUUAUAUAAAAUUCUGUAAAAACCUAUGUCCAACCUUUCUCUUCAAGUUUCAUAACCUCUUUCUGCUCCUCCUCUGUGGGGAGCUGCCCUGCUACUCACCCACAACCAGCUCACACCAUCCAUCCAUCCAUCCAUCCCCACAUCACCCAGCCUUCCACUGCUUCCUGGACCAUCUACACCCAUAUCCUUGAAUCCUGGCUGGGGUUUGAACCAGCAAUCUCUCAACCCAGCCGGCGAUGCUCAUCCACAUGAGCUACAGGAUCUCGUACAAGGAGCUUGUUUUAUAGACCUUUUCACCUUCAUAUACGUAACCCUGCCCUAAAGGGGAAACAGCACAGACGUGAACCAAAC